CUUGCAUGCAAUGGUAGACAAACCGUUAUAUUCUUCUACAUACAGCCACUGUAGAAGUAGACUGCACUCAGAUGAUUCCAUAGGCUUGGGACAAGUCAGGCUCACAGAAAACACCCCUGAUCCAACACACUAACCCACAUUUUUUCUUUGAUUAAAUUAGCUGUGACACAAAGCAGACAUGCUCAGAAGUCUAUGUCUAUAUUUCCCACAAUAUCAGUUCGUCCAGUUUAUUCUAGUUAGUCUAAACCUACUUCACACUUGUUAUUUCUUCACUCAGUGAGAAGAGUCUCAGUGCCUGAGGAGCAUCGCCUGUACCUGGCCUGCAGUGGCACUGUUGACUUACAGUGGCGACACCAGGUCAACAGGAUCAUAGUCACCAAACAAGGCCAGCCGGUUACUUGCAUGAACCAACAGAAAUAUGACCUCCAGCCUGAUGGAUCUCUGGUUAUUAAAGAGCUGGAGCCAUCCGACUCUGGGGACUACCACUGCAACGACCAGCUAGUGGCAGACGUGGAGGUACUGAAAGGUAUGAGUGACAGGUACCGUGUGAAAUGUAACACUUGUCUGACCACCACUCUAGAAUAACAACAAAACAAAAAAAUCGAUAUAUUGGUUGCUGUCCUUGAUGAUGUGAGCUGAAAAUGUACCACUGACUGGGCGAUAAAGAAUGGUUGAACAAAUGAUCAAUUUCAAGUGGACAACCACCAGUGAAACUGCUCUGUAAGAAUGCUAAUAAACGGCUAAUCGCUAGCAAUCAUGCUAAAAUUWUCAUGCAUUCCAAUACAAUAUGCUAACGGUAGUGCUAGCGCGAGCCAACAAACAAGCUGAACACAUGGUACUUUUACACAAAAGACCACAYAACUUAGGWAUUUGGCGUGACCUUGACCAAUAAAACACUAACAAAAUUGGGGGUCCUCUGAAUGGGAGUCUAAGCUGCCGACCGGAACUAUCCAGAAGGGAUGGCUAGAAUCAGCUGACUGAAACUGGCCGUUUUAACAGAUAUUGUUSCAGACUYUUUUCCAAUCUGUAUUUUGUUUGUAGUCUUUAAGGUCUGUAUUCUAUACCRUAACUAUUCCCAUUGGUUUAUGGAGGACUUCUAGUAGUUUUUUAUAUAKAGAUUGAAUACAAAACCUCCUCUUGUGUUCUGGUUACAUACAAACUCARUGAGUGGAUGGAAAGGCUCCAUCAGUGCGCAUAGUGGUUCUUAACGGCAAAAAAUGUAAAAUACAAAUAAAUGACGAAUCAGUUAAAUUCUACAUAUUUUUUAGGUCAUGAAAGGAUAAUAACCCUUYAUCAUUCAUCAAAGCAUAUAACUUUAAGUUGGGUAAAGCUAGACCCCCAAAAACGUUGUGUUUCUGGAGUGUAUGUAUUUUCAUUCUGGGCCGUUUCUGUUUCCAUAUAAAAUGUAAGACUGAAUUUYGAAUCUUACCUCAGUACUAACAAAGUGUGCUAACAAUAAAUUGAGUCKAGGCAAGACAUUCAUUUUGACUAUCAAAAUUCGACCUGAUAAAGUUAAUGUUAGAUUAAACCAUCUGUCGAGAUCUGCUGUAAUUACAGUUGUGACUUUGUAGUUCUUCUAAACAUUAUUAACUAAAACAUCAAUGCCCAGGUAUUUAAAAUGGGUCACAAUUGGUAUCUUCGAUUCUAUAUCGAGGUUGAACAUUGCUUUGUUAAGUGGGAGCAGAAACAUAGUCUAUUUUGUUCAUCUAAUGAGCAUAUUACUAUCAGUGUCAAAGACAUUUCCACAUCAUGUUACCAAUAUUUAAUACAAUAAAUAUCUUCCCACAGGCAAAAACUUUGCGGUUUCUGCUGGCCGAGCCCUAUUGCUUCCCUGUAUAGUAUCUAGCAAAGCCAAGCGGAGGUGGUUCUUCAGGAAAAAUAGUCAUGCGAAACGAGAACCCAUCUUGACUCUGUUCAAAAAUGGGACCAUGAAAAAGGAGAGAAAGGACCCCCAGAAAAGGUUUUCCUAUGAUGAAGAUGGUGCCCUGCAGAUCCUCAAUCUCCAGCCAGGGGACUCUGGAGAGUACCUGUGUAAUGGGGAAAAGGAAGCCAAAGUAACAGUGUUGACAGAUCAUCUCAACAUCCAGAGUACCACUGCUCUUAUGCAAACAGAUGUUGUUGGGAAAGAGAACAGAGAGACACGCCCUAUAAAUGGUAGGUUGUCCAUGAAAGUUCAGACACAAACCCUGUUUUUGCUCUUUGUGGUGAAACUGAAAUGGCAGUGGGUGUUGGUCAAUAUCGAGGGUCUUGAAAUUGAAAGAUGGAACGAAGUCACGAUACAAAAGCAAGAACAUAAGUCCAUUUUUUUGGUAACUUUCUUUUUCUCCCCAAUUUCGAUCUCUGGAG